rnacentral:rRNA from 1 species
AUUGAACGCUGGCGGCAGGCUUAACACAUGCAAGUCGAGCGGGGUGAUGGUGCUUGCACUAUCACUUAGCGGCGGACGGGUGAGUAAUGCUUAGGAAUCUGCCUAUUAGUGGGGGACAACAUCUCGAAAGGGAUGCUAAUACCGCAUACGUCCUACGGGAGAAAGCAGGGGAUCACUUGUGACCUUGCGCUAAUAGAUGAGCCUAAGUCGGAUUAGCUAGUUGGUGGGGUAAAGGCCUACCAAGGCGACGAUCUGUAGCGGGUCUGAGAGGAUGAUCCGCCACACUGGGACUGGGACACGGCCCAGACUCCUACGGGAGGCAGCAGUGGGGAAUAUUGGACAAUGGGGGGAACCCUGAUCCAGCCAUGCCGCGUGUGUGAAGAAGGCCUUAUGGUCGUAAAGCACUUUAAGCGAGGAGGAGGCUCCUUUGGUUAAUACCCAAGAUGAGUGGACGUUACUCGCAGAAUAAGCACCGGCUAACUCUGUGCCAGCCGCCGCCGUAA